GUCCCUCUUAGAACAGCACAUACACUAAAAUUGGAAUGAGACAGAGAUUAACAUGGCCUGUGCGCAAGGAUGACACGCAAAUUUGUGAAGCGGUCCAUAAAAAA
rnacentral:snRNA from 1 species